UUCCUCUGGAAGAAAGGACAUGAUCUUUGUGUUGAAAUUGUUUUCACCACUUACCCUUUAGUGGAAACAAGAUAAUCCACUGAUUCAAGACCAUUCUCAUCUCCCAGGAAGACACUGACGGGUCACUAUGGAAUGAACACAGCAGGACCACAGGCAUGUGCCUCUUGCCACUAGCUCUAUCCAGCGGCUAGCCUGGCAUCUGGGUGUCCCAGAUGAAGUCAAGAAGGAACAGUUGAGAUAAAUGCAUAGUGAGUGGUACUGCUGAACCCGAUACCCCUUCUAGCCUGAUCACUGAAGUGCUUUUGGCAAGGAGCAACCUCUACAGGAACUGUGGCAUCGGGAUUUCAACUGUUGCAUGGCCAGAGUAAGUGUGUUGAUGGCUGAAUGAGAAGGUAAAGAAAUAAAGGUCUCUGGGAUGUCAAAUCAAGUCCACUGCUACUGGGGACAUUACAGCAUGUCUCUCCAUCAGCUGCACAAGGGUCUGAAAAUUGGAGGCUUCAUCUUACUCUGAAGACAAUAAAUCUUUUCACAUACUGAUUUACUAGCUUAUUAUUUUUUAAAGAAAUGUCAGUAAAUUUUGAUUCAACCUGAA